CCUCAAGGUGGCUUGGACCCUGUUC
rnacentral:piRNA from 1 species